AUACGUAGGGAGCGAGCGUUGUCCGGAAUUACUGGGUGUAAAGGGAGCGUAGGCGGGAGUGCAAGUCAGAUGUGAAAUACAUGGGCUCAACCCAUGGGCUGCAUUUGAAACUGCAUUUCUUGAGUGAAGUAGAGGUAAGCGGAAUUCCUGGUGUAGCGGUGAAAUGCGUAGAUAUCAGGAGGAACACCGGUGGCGGAGGCGGCUUACUGGGCUUUUACUGACGCUGAGGCUCGAAAGCGUGGGGAGCAAACAGGAUUAGAUACCCUGGUAGUCCACGCUGUAAACGAUGAUUACUAGGUGUGGGGGGACUGACCCCUUCCGUGCCGCAGUUAACACAAUAAGUAAUCCACCUGGGGAGUACGGCCGCAAGGUUGAAACUCAAAUGAAUUGACGGGG
rnacentral:rRNA from 1 species